rnacentral:rRNA from 1 species
CGCGGUAAUUCCAGCUCCAAUAGCGUAUAUUAAAUUUGCUGCAGUUAAAAAGCUCGUAGUUGGAUUUGUGGUGUGGUGCGUCUGGAGCCUAACGUGGUCCUUUCGAGGGCUGUGUUGGAGUGAUCCGGGUAAGCGUGCCUGCCAUUCGUUGUUUGUUGCUUGUUCGUAAGAGCAGGUGAUAACAACCCUUUACUUUGAGCAAAUUAGAGUGUUCCAAGCAGGCCGUUCUAGGGCCGUGAAUACAUGAGCAUGGAAUAAUAAGAUAGGACUCGGGUUCUAUUUUGUUGGUUUCCAGGAUCUGAGUAAUGAUUGAUAGGGACGGUUGGGGGUGCUAGUAUUCAACGGCCAGAGGUGAAAUUCUUGGAUUCGUUGAAGACUAACUUAUGCGAAAGCAUUCACCAAGGACGUCUUCUUUAAUCAAGAACGAAAGUUGGGGGAUCGAAGACGAUCAGAUACCGUCGUAGUCUCAACUAUAAACGAUGCCAACUAGGGAUACGUGGACGUUUGUUCGAAGACUCCAUGUGCACCUGACGAGAAAUCCAAGUUUUUGGGUUCCGGGGGGAGUAUGGUCGCAAGGCUGAAACUUAAAGGAAUUGACGGAAGGGCACACCAGGAGUGGAGCCUGCGGCUUAAUUUGACUCAACACGGGGAAACUUACCAGGUCCAGACAAUAAGAGGAUUGACAGAUUGAAGAUCUUUCUUGAUUUAUUGAGUGGUGGUGCAUGGCCGUUCUUAGUUGGUGGAGUGAUUUGUCUGGUUUAUUCCGUUAACGAACGAGACCUCGACUUGCUAAGUAGGGUUGGAUAACGUGAGUUAUUUCCUUUUGAAUUCUUCUUAGAGGGACUCUCGGUGCGUAGCCGAUGGAAGUUCGAGGCAAUAACAGGUCUGUGAUGCCCAAUCACUAGU